rnacentral:rRNA from 1 species
GAUGAACGCUGGCGGCGUGCCUAAUACAUGCAAGUCGAGCGAACGGACGAGAAGCUUGCUUCUCUGAUGUUAGCGGCGGACGGGUGAGUAACACGUGGAUAACCUACCUAUAAGACUGGGAUAACUUCGGGAAACCGUAGCUAAUACCGGAUAAUAUUUUGAACCGCAUGGUUCAAAAGUGAAAGACGGUCUUGCUGUCACUUAUAGAUGGAUCCGCGCUGCAUUAGCUAGUUGGUAAGGUAACGGCUUACCAAGGCAACGAUGCAUAGCCACCUGAGAGGGUGAUCGGCCACACUGGAACUGAGACACGGUCCAGACUCCUACGGGAGGCAGCAGUAGGGAAUCUUCCGCAAUGGGCGAAAGCCUGACGGAGCAACGCCGCGUGAGUGAUGAAGGUCUUCGGAUCGUAAAACUCUGUUAUUAGGGAAGAACAUAUGUGUAAGUAACUGUGCACAUCUUGACGGUACCUAAUCAGAAAGCCACGGCUAACUACGUG